rnacentral:rRNA from 1 species
UACGGGGGGGGCAAGCGUUGUUCGGAAUUAUUGGGCGUAAAGAGCUCGUAGGUGGCUUGUCACGUCGGGUGUGAAAGCUUGGGACUUAACUCCAGGUCUGCAUUCGAUACGGGCUGGCUAGAGGUAGGUAGGGGAGAACGGAAUUCCUGGUGUAGCGGUGAAAUGCGCAGAUAUCAGGAGGAACACCGGUGGCGAAGGCGGUUCUCUGGGCCUUACCUGACGCUGAGGAGCGAAAGCGUGGGGAGCGAACAGG